CCUCCGGUUUUACCCGGUCCUAGGUUGUGCUUUCCUUUCCCUUCCCCCUUCCCUCGCAUUCACUACUCACCUGCUGGGGGGAUGGGCGCCUGGGAGUGCCAGGAGGAUAGUCUAGGAGUGUUAGCACUGCAGCCGCAGCAGUCCUCCUGUCUCACUAGGCCACCCAGAUUCUCUGCGGCAGCAGUAUGGGGAGCUGCUCCCCUUGUUUCGUUUGUCCCACUCCGCAGUCACCACUGCUGCCUCCAAUUCGCCUCUGCUACAUUUGGAUCCUCCUCUCCGUACACGAACUCUACCACCAGGAUGGAGGCCUCCUCACUUUCCUGCCAAAUAGUGAGCUAGCCGCAUCGAGACAUUCAAAACACGGGACCGGACACCGCCCUCUUCCCCUCCACCAACACGCAGGCGCACUGCAAAUUCCGAACUGCGACAGGAGUGCAGGAAGCAAUCCUCCGCCUAGUCCACCGCUACUCCGUACCGCGCAGGCGCUCCUUUUCCUCCACUGCCGUCUCUCGGCGCUCCGUCGAGCAGAGUGGCGUCGUAGCGGAGAGUGGUGUGGGCUUGUCCCCAGUUGGCUGUGUUAGCCCUUCUCCAAACUCAGACUACUAGACCCUGGGGCAGUGAAUGUCCGUCUUUCCCCUCCCAUCCGCCCACCCACCACGGUGGAUCUAGUGCUGCCUCGUAAAGUGGCCACAGUGCUUUAUGGCAGCGGUACCGCUUCCUUAAACAGGCCUUGGGAGCCAGUGGCUGCACACUGCCCUCUCACCAUCAUAGGAAAGAAAAUAUGUAAGCCAUCAUAAGAAAGAAAAAUCAGCUAUGGAUAUCCUGUGUUACAAAUUUGGCCUGUGACGACUGAGGAGAGAGGCUAGGAUGCAAAGUAUAGAAUUACAAAGGAUCUUGUCAAGGAUAUUUCCAUCAUCCAGGGGCAGCAGGCAGCGAGUGGAGCUGAAGGUGUGCCUCACCCAGUUUCAGUGAUCAGCUCCCCUUGAUGGUGACUGGCACCAGGCGAUUGAUUGGGUUCCCAAAACUGUCCAGGAAACAGAUGAGUGUCAGACCAGGGGGGUCCAUGAAGAGUCCACAGAGAAGGACCACUGAUAAUCUCACCGUCUCUUACAGAGAAGACUUUGGAACCACAGUGGGAGAGACCACUGCAAGUACUUCUCACCACCUUCACUGCAAUCAAAAUCAAGGAGCAGAAUGCCUGGAUCCUUCACUCUGGAGUGAAGAAAGCCCUAGAAGUCCCUUGGAGAGUGACACCAGGAGACAAUGAACUGAGACUAAAACUUACUCGGGCAAAAUGUUUAUAUUGUGGUUGGGGGUAGUUCAUACUUUAGUUUACAGAAUUGUUUUGUAUGGAAUUAUAACUGAAGUUUCAGAACUAGAGAGUACCUCUACCCAAAGCAAUGCUGAACGGCCUUGGUCCCAGGCUUUUAAUCAGUAUACUGGAUCAAUGGGAAAACCUUCUGAGAUAAACGAUUUAAACAUAUCUACUGUAGUAAUCCACGGGAAUUGGGUAUAUGAGAAGCAAGAAUGGCAGGGAUGAGAACUGUGGGGACUUCAAAGAAUCAGAGGAGAAGAAAUCAAAGUAGAGUGCCGGGUCAUCAAUAAGACGGCUUAUGAGAGACCAGAUGUAAUUAGUGUCUCAACCUCCCCUGGUGUAUAUCAACACCAGGAAGUCUGUGAUAGCCUAACUGAAUCAGACUGUUGGUGUAAUUUCACCUUGAUACAGCCUGUAGAAACGACCUGCCUUUGAGUUCGAGUUGCUAUCAGACUUUCAUUUAAAUUCAAAGUAGACACUGCACUUUUUACAACAGCAGGGCCUUAUACAACCCAUACUAGGACUCAAAUAGUUCAGACUCUACCCAAACUGGAACCUAAAGUGUAUGAAACAGGCCCCUACGUAGUAAAGAAUGUGUGUGAACAACAACUAUUAUUCAGUCCAGAAUGGUCUCUCAAAUGUGUGGAGUUGCUAAUGCAAAUUAACAUCUCAAAAAUCCAACCAGUCUGCUCCUCCUUCCUAAAAACAUCCUUUGAAGGUUAGACAACGUAGUUACAAAGACAAGUAUAUCUCAAUAGCAGAAUAAGAAAGGAUCUAACUGAGAUAUUAAGGACAGGAUUAGGAGUUUUAAAUGGAAUUGAUUCAGAAAUACUGAUGAAUAAACUGGCUGCUGCAGCAGGUAGCCUAACAAAAUUGAAGCAGCCUUUACAGUCAUCUCUCUUGGCAUUAGGAACAAGCCAGUGGCAGAUUUCAAAGUACUGCCAAAGUAAGGAAGUAUGAAGAGGCCGGGGACCAAGACCACAAGUUAAUAGUAGAAGCACUUAGUACAGUUCUAGAUAAUGUGUCUUUAGCUUUCAGUUGUAUACAAGCACAGUUAUAGAUGCAAGCAACAGCAGCUCUGAUCAUAUAGGAAAGGGGUGAUGGUAAUUUUCCAGCUGAAAUUCGGAGAAUUGUUUGGGAUAAUGCAAUUGAUUUUGAAAGGAAGUUUCAAUCCUGGUGGACUAUGGUGAAUUUCACCUAUGAUCCUGUUUCUAAUGUGGCCACUGCCUUUGUGCUUACCAUACGUAAUGCCACUGUUUAUGUUAUCCAUCCCAUCAUUGCCCUAAGAUUAAACCAUGAAGAAACAACACUCUAUCCUUCAGAACAUAGAGUGUGGGCACGAAAAGAUGAAUGAAAAGUGGCAGAUAGUAAACUUAGAAUCCUGCACUACUAGAGAACAGAUGGGAUUCAUGUGUGAAAGCAAUACUAUUAAUGCCCAAGAUGUGUUUAGACACUGCGCAGAGUAUUUGUCACUUCGAAGUUCAUCCAGUCACUGACCAGAAAACUGUGCUCGUAUAUACUGGAAAAGGGUGUGUAUGCCUGAGAACUGCCUGUGCUGCUGUAAAAAUUGAUAGCAAUGAUGUUAUUCUGUCUAGUAGAAAUCAUUCUAAUUUCUGUAUUUGUAAUUUUGUUAAGAUUAUCGGGUGUGAUUUUUCGUACUUGGCACCAGUGACAUCCCACCAGCUGGUUAAAACCAAUUAUACAGUGUUUCACAGACUAUCACCUACCCCUAUUGGUAUGGACCUUGCAUUAGUAAAACAAUUAAUUAAGCACCAAGACCUACUAAGGAUCUUGAAGAAAAACUCAAGGAAGCAGAGAGAACUAUCCAGUGUGAUACAAAAAGAAAUAACUAGAAUUCUUCAAAGAAUAGAACAAAAUGCAGAUCAUCACUGGUGGGAUAUGAUCUUUGGGUGCUCACCAACUGCAAAUAGAAUCUUUAAUAAGUUGUAUCAUCCUACUCUAGUUUUGUUAAUAUUAGUUAGAAUAAGUUUAAGAUUAUCCAUUAUCAAACGCACAUGGUAAAGCACUAAAGUACACUUGUUGUCAUAGGAAUUUGUACAAAGUAAAAGAAUUUACUUCCUCCUUUUAGGAAAGGGGGGAAUGAAGCAAAGUGAAAAUUUUCCAGGAUAGAAAUCCAUUUUAAUUUAGGUGAAAUGUACAUUUUUGAGUUGAAUCUGUGGUUAGAAAUCAUAGUUAUUUAGCCAGACUGCAAGGCCUAAGCUCAGUGAAGUUACUUCAGUGAAGGACAGAGAUAAAGGGGGGGAGACAGAAGAUGAUAGAGACAGGGACUGCUGUAAGGGCAAGUCAGCCUGACCUCGGAAUUUUUUUUUUUAUAAAAAGGAACUAGUGAUAAAAGUCACACGAAACCCAUAAAAAUGAAUAUGUAUGAACCUAUUGUGAAAUUGUAUGCAUAUGUAUUUGAGAGAGAGAUAAAAAGAAACCUGAAGUUCUCAGAGGUACACAUGCCUCUUUUGAGGAGAGCAAUCUCUGCAUGUGUCCAGCGCUGUAAUAAACAUACCAAGCUUUACA